rnacentral:rRNA from 2 species
UUAAACUGAAGAGUUUGAUCAUGGCUCAGAUUGAACGCUGGCGGCAGGCUUAACACAUGCAAGUCGAGCGGUAACAGGGGGUGCUUGCACCCCGCUGACGAGCGGCGGACGGGUGAGUAA